rnacentral:rRNA from 1 species
AUUGAACGCUGGCGGUAUGCCUUACACAUGCAAGUCGAACGGUAACGGGUCCUUCGGGAUGCCGACGAGUGGCGAACGGGUGAGUAAUAUAUCGGAACGUGCCCAGUAGUGGGGGAUAACUGCUCGAAAGAGCAGCUAAUACCGCAUACGACCUGAGGGUGAAAGGGGGGGAUCGCAAGACCUCUCGCUAUUGGAGCGGCCGAUAUCAGAUUAGCUAGUUGGUGGGGUAAAGGCCUACCAAGGCAACGAUCUGUAGUUGGUCUGAGAGGACGACCAGCCACACUGGGACUGAGACACGGCCCAGACUCCUACGGGAGGCAGCAGUGGGGAAUUUUGGACAAUGGGCGCAAGCCUGAUCCAGCAAUGCCGCGUGCAGGAAGAAGGCCUUCGGGUUGUAAACUGCUUUUGUCAGGGAAGAAAUCUUCUGGGCUAAUACCCCGGGAGGAUGACGGUACCUGAAGAAUAAGCACCGGCUAACUACGUGCCAGCAGCCGCAGUAACAC